rnacentral:rRNA from 1 species
AACGAACGCUGGCGGCAUGCCUAACACAUGCAAGUCGAACGAGACCUCCGGGUUUUGUGGCGCAGGGGUGCGUGACGCGGGGGAACCUGCCCUUAGGUUCGCAAUACCUCCCCGUAAGGUGUGCUAAUACCGGAUAAUCUCUUCCGACCAAAGAUUUGUGGCGUUUGGGUGGGCCUGGGUUGGAUUCGUUAGUUGGUAGGGGAAAAGCCUCGCAAGGCGAGGAUGCUUAGCUGGUCUGAGAGGAUGAUCCGCCACACUGGGACUAAGACACGGCCCAGAAUCGUACGGGAGGGAGCAGAGGGGAAUAUAGGACGAUGGGGGAAGGCCUGAUCCAGCAAGGCCGGGGAAGUGAUGAAGGCCGUAGGGAUGUGAAGCUCUUUUACCCGGGGUGUUAAUGACGGUACCGGGAGAAUAAGCACCGGCUAACUACGUG